UACGUAGGGGGCAAGCGUUGUCCGGAUUUAUUGGGCGUAAAGAGCGUGUAGGCGGCCAUACAGGUCCGUUGUGAAAACUCGAGGCUCAACCUCGAGACGUCGAUGGAAGCCGUAUGGCUAGAGUUCGGUAGGGGAGACUGGAAUUCCUGGUGUAGCGGUGAAAUGCGCAGAUAUCAGGAGGAACACCGGUGGCGAAGGCGGGUCUCUGGGGCCGAUACUGACGCUGAGGAGCGAAAGCGUGGGGGAGCGAACAGG
rnacentral:rRNA from 1 species